UUGUUGUGGGCAGAUAAAGUGAAUGUGCGUAUCAAUACCACCAGCGGUGAUAAUUUUACCUUCACCAGCAAUGACCUCUGUUGCUGGGCCAAUGACAAUAUCUACUUUUGGCUGAAUAUCCGGAUUUCCUGCUUUACCAAUGCCCGCUAUUCUGCCGUUUUUGAUGCCAAUGUCAGCUUUCACGAUCCCCCAAUGAUCGAGUAUCAACGCAUUAGUGAUCAGAACAUCGACACAGCCAUCAUUCGUCACUUGGCUUUGUCCCAUACCAUCAC
rnacentral:sRNA from 1 species